GUCGAGCGCGCCUUCGGGUGAGCGGCGGACGGGUUAGUAACGCGUGGGAACGUACCCUUCUCUACGGAAUAGCCUCUGGAAACGGAGAGUAAUACCGUAUACGCCCUUUGGGGGAAAGAUUUAUCGGAGAAGGAUCGGCCCGCGUUAGAUUAGGUAGUUGGUGGGGUAACGGCCUACCAAGCCUACGAUCUAUAGCUGGUUUUAGAGGAUGAUCAGCAACACUGGGACUGAGACACGGCCCAGACUCCUACGGGAGGCAGCAGUGGGGAAUCUUAGACAAUGGGGGCAACCCUGAUCUAGCCAUGCCGCGUGAGUGAUGAAGGCCUUAGGGUUGUAAAGCACUUUCACUGGUGAAGAUGAUGACGGUAACCAGAGAAGAAGCCCCGGCUAACUUCGUGCCAGCAGCCGCGGUAAUACGAAGGGGGCAAGCGUUGUUCGGAAUUACUGGGCGUAAAGGGCGCGUACGCGGUCUUUUAAGUUAGGCGUGAAAUCCCCGGGCUCAACCUGGGAACUGCGCUUAAGACUGGAAGACUAGAAAACGGAAGAGGGUAGUGGAAUUCCCAGUGUAGAGGUGAAUUCGUAGAUUUGGGAGAACACAGUGGGAAAGCGGUACUGGUCCGAUUUGACGCUGAGCGCAAACUGGGAGCAAAAGGAU
rnacentral:rRNA from 1 species